CUUGCCUCAUAUAAGAGGUCCAGCCUGCCCAGUGACAUUGUUCAACGGCCGCGGUAUCCUAACCGUGCGAAGGUAGCGUAAUCACUUGUUCUUUAAAUGAGGACUAGUAUGAAAGGCAUCACGAGAGUCAUACUGUCUCCUUUCUCUAAUCAGUGAAACUAAUCCCCCCGUGAAGAAGCGGGGAUAAAAAUAUAAGACGAGAAGACCCUAUGGAGCUUUAAACAUAUGCUAUAUGCCCUUUUAGCUUCAAAUUUCAGAAAAAUCUCUUAUCUUGGUAUAAUAACUAAUAGUUUUUGGUUGGGGUGACCACGGAAUAAAAAACAACUUCCACAAUGAAAGAUUCUCCUUCACUAAGUUAAGGACUACAACCCUAUACAUCAAUAAAUUGACAUAAUUGACCCAACAUAUUGAUCAAUGAAC
rnacentral:rRNA from 1 species